GAUGAACGCUGGCGGCGUGCUUAACACAUGCAAGUCGAACGAAGCUGCCUAGAGGAAGUUUUCGGAUGGAAUUUAGGUAGACUUAGUGGCGGACGGGUGAGUAACGCGUGGAUAACCUGCCUUAUACAGGGGGAUAACGGAGAGAAAUUUCCGCUAACACCGCAUAAGACCACAGCACCGCAUGGUGCAGGGGUAAAAUAUUUAUAGGUAUAAGAUGGAUCCGCGUCCGAUUAGCUUGUUGGUGAGGUAGAGGCUCACCAAGGCGACGAUCGGUAGCCGGCCUGAGAGGGUGAACGGCCACAUUGGGACUGAGACACGGCCCAAACUCCUACGGGAGGCAGCAGUGGGGAAUAUUGGACAAUGGGGGAAACCCUGAUCCAGCGACGCCGCGUGAGUGAAGAAGUAUUUCGGUAUGUAAAGCUCUAUCAGCAGGGAAGAAAAUGACGGACCUGGCUAAGAG
rnacentral:rRNA from 1 species